CCGCUAAGUUAUCUAGAUUAGACCUUGAGGCAAUGCAUCUUAGUUAUCUAUCUUUAAAUUCGGUUUAGGUUUACUAUUAUCAUCAGUUUGCUAUCAGUUUGCUACUAGUCUUUUGUAAUAAAUGCCUCAAUAUUAAUAAAGAGUAUUAUUAUUAUUAUGUCUUGUGUGUCUCUACUUUAUUUUUGUGCAAGAAAGCAGAAAACAAGUAUGGGGGAGAUCCCUCGACAUGCCAAACACACUCCGACCACACCACUCCACGAUUCAGGUACACACUCUGCACACUUUACUUUACACGUACACAUAUUUUGGAUUAUGCAGAAUAUUGUUUCCGACAUGAUAAAUUAAAAAGAUUAAAAUAUUUCUAAUCAUGAUUAAUCUCACUCUGUGAUAUUUCCUAAAACUUAUAACUAUUAUAAAAUCAUUUCAAAACCCUGUGUUACUUAAGACAGUAUGGAAUGUGAGAUGGUAGAGUAUGAGUUUCUUAUUCUUGAUAUCAUUGUUGCUUGGAGAAUUUAUUUCAAAAUUCUAGCUACCAUCCUCAGUGUUUUAUAUGCCUGAUAAAACUGAAAAUAUUAAUUAUGAUUAUAGAAGCUAUCUACUCUGUAUUGAGUUUGUUCAAAAUGAGUUAGACCCUUGUUGAGAGAUUUAUCAUGCUCCUAAGAUCAAGACAUUUAUUCAGAAAGAUUCACUCUUCCUAAGUAUUAUUGCAUUAGAGGCAUGGGCUAUGCAAAAAUAGAGAUAUUUCGAGGAAAUAAAAAGGAGCAAGUGCUCGACAACCUCGCAGAAAAAAUGGACAAGUGUCCGACAGUAGAAUUAGGGUACCUCGGUAUCCACUUAAAAAAAAGAGAGAAGAAAAAGAGAAAAAAUGAUAGCCCAUGGUCCCUCUAAUAAGCAAUAUGCCAGCAAGAGUUGACAAAGAUUUUAAUUUCCAAAGUCUUUGAUCUAAGAGUAUGACAUUUCCCUCCUUGGAUCCCGUUUUGAUCAGGCAAUAAAUGCAAAGUAAGUAUGCUUGAGAAUUUUUGCAAAUUAAAACAACCUCAGUGAGAUAUAUAUAAAAGAUAAUGAGUGAUCUGAGAAGAACCUAUGAGGAAAAAGGUAUGCUAACUUUCUUUCAAAAAUAUACAAAAAAACUCCAAGUGACAAGAUUGAGAAGAAAGGAUCUUUACUCUUAACCAUAAACUUCUCUGACUAUGGUACACAGUGGAUUUUUAACACCCUGCAAUUAUAAAAAGAAUGUUUUAAAUGUUUACCCCAGAUAUUUUUCUUAACCAUCCUUUUCUCGAGGACGAGUAAAAGCCUAAGUAUGGGGGUAUUUGUUGACGGUUCUUAAGUAUCAAUUUUAAUAAUCAAAUAAACAAGAGAAAGGACCAAUAUGCAACCAACACAUAGAAUUAGGGUU
rnacentral:lncRNA from 1 species